rnacentral:rRNA from 1 species
ACGGGAGGCAGCAGUGAGGAAUAUUGGUCAAUGGAGGCAACUCUGAACCAGCCAUCUCGCGUGAAGGAAUACGGCCCUACGGGUCUUAAACUUCUUUUAUAGGGGGAUAAAGUGAGCCACGAGUGGCUUUUUGUAGGUACCCUAUGAAUAAGCAUCGGCUAACUCCGUGCCAGCAGCCGCGGUAAUACGGAGGAUGCGAGCGUUAUCCGGAUUUAUUGGGUUUAAAGGGUGCGCAGGCGGCACGUUAAGUCAGCGGUGAAAUGUCGGGGCUCAACCCGGGCACUGCCGUUGAAACUGGCGAGCUUGAGUACGGAUGAAGUCGGCGGAAUGUGAUGUGUAGCGGUGAAAUGCUUAGAUAUGACGAAGAACUCCGAUUGCGAAGGCAGCUGACUGUAGCGUAACUGACGCUGAAGCUCGAAGGUGCGGGUAUCGAACAGGAUUAGAUACCCUGGUA